rnacentral:rRNA from 1 species
GACGAACGCUGGCGGCGUGCCUAAUACAUGCAAGUCGAGCGAGUCUGCCUUGAAGAUCGGAGUGCUUGCACUCUGUGAAACAAGAUACAGGCUAGCGGCGGACGGGUGAGUAACACGUGGGUAACCUGCCCAAGAGAUCGGGAUAACACCUGGAAACAGAUGCUAAUACCGGAUAACAACAGAUGAUGCCUAUCAACUGUUUAAAAGAUGGUUCUGCUAUCACUCUUGGAUGGACCUGCGGUGCAUUAGCUAGUUGGUAGGGUAACGGCCUACCAAGGCGAUGAUGCAUAGCCGAGUUGAGAGACUGAUCGGCCACAUUGGGACUGAGACACGGCCCAAACUCCUACGGGAGGCAGCAGUAGGGAAUCUUCCACAAUGGACGCAAGUCUGAUGGAGCAACGCCGCGUGAGUGAAGAAGGGUUUCGGCUCGUAAAGCUCUGUUGUUUGUGAAGAAGGACAGGGGUAGUAACUGACCUUUGUUUGACGGUAAUCAAUUAGAAAGUCACGGCUAACUACGUG